rnacentral:rRNA from 1 species
AACCUCGCCCCAUAGUCUGGGAUACCACUUGGAAACAGGUGCUAAUACCGGAUAAGAAAGUAGAUCGCAUGAUCAGCUUUUAAAAGGCGGCGUAAGCUGUCGCUAUGGGAUGGCCCCGCGGUGCAUUAGCUAGUUGGUAAGGUAAAGGCUUACCAAGGCGAUGAUGCAUAGCCGAGUUGAGAGACUGAUCGGCCACAUUGGGACUGAGACACGGCCCAAACUCCUACGGGAGGCAGCAGUC